ensembl:lncRNA LINC02347 long intergenic non-protein coding RNA 2347
CAAGGGGCAAGUUUUCUGGACUUGCCUAGACCUUAUAGCAGAUUAAGUACUUUUAUUUCACUGAACAAAGUUUAGAGAUCAUUUUACAUCACUGAACAAAGUUUAGAGAUUUGGAGAGUAUUUGUUUUUAAUUUCUAUGGAUCUGCUUAUACUUCUCUUUUGCAAAUUGAAACACCGUGGAAGAUUUUUUGGAACUUAGGUUGAGAGUUGUACAUGGCUUCAGAGUUGCUGUGGAUUUCUAUCUCCAUGGGGCCAUCUGUCUCAUCUGUCUAUAUAAUGGUCAUGCACUUUGCAGAGCCUGCUUCAAUGUCUGCUAUACUAUGGCCACUCUGCCAGUGUUGUUGACAAACAGAUGGGUUUUGAUGGCAGAGAAACUUAUAUUUAGCAAGUCUUCCUUUUGCCCUUGAACUUUUCCACCUGUUGUUUGCACCAGCAACUCCCAUGGCAAAUGUGAAAAAGCAAAAAAUAAGGAAUAUUACAAGAUGGGACUAACAUUAAAAUGUAUGUUUUCAUCAAACAUGAUCAAGAACCUACCGAUGAUUGAAGAUUGAUUCUGAGUAAUCAGCACAGAUUUCUAAAAGAAACUUUAUGGGAUGCUGAGACAUGAAUAAAAACAACUUUAUUCCUUUGGAAAGGACAACCCACAUGCUAAGAAGAUGACACUACACGUUGUUAUAGCCCGAAAGGCCCUCUUUCCACAGGGGAGCAGUGAAAAGUAGAGGUUGCCCAUGUGGAUUCCCAAGUCAGAUAGAUGUGGAUUCAGAUCCCAGCUCUGCUGCUUGCUACCCAAGAGACCAUGGACUGUGGACUCUUUAGGUCUCAGGGUUUUUGUUUGUUGUCUGUUUUUCACUUCCAAAACCAGAAAAUGAGAAGAUAUUUUCCAUAAGAUGGCGGUGCACAUCCACUGUGGGGCUUGGCCUCAAUCCCCUAGAUGUCUUCAAUAUAAUCUUCAAUUGUCAGGAGAAGAGAACUUGAUGGACCUUGCUUGGACAAAAUGCCUUCACCGCUAACUCAGUCAGCUAUGGCGAUGGGUCAAGGACCUGGUGGUUUUACAGAGAAGACCCUUGGUCAAAUCUUUGUGAAUGAAGCAACCAUUCUGAUGUUCAAUAACAGGAAUGCACCAGUUUAUACCAAACUAUCUGUACUAUUGAGAACAGCAAAAAUAUCUGACCAAAAACACCAAAGAGUGACAUUUUAAAAGACAUCAAAGAACUCUCAAGGCUUCCAGAGUUGGAAAGAUCAAGAAAGAGAGAAUGCAACUUCAUUAAGUGACUCAACUCCAAAUAGGAGCAUUUCAAGAGUAUGUAUUUCAACAAAGAAGUAUUAGAAGAUGACAGUGUCCUUGCAGUAUCUUUUAGGGGCUAUCAGAACAUGAUUUCUGCUAUAUUCUAUCAUCGGAGCCUUAAUAAUGUUAACUAUAAUUCAAGGGAAGAUCAAAUAAACUUCACCUUUCAAGGAAA